GACGAACGCUGGCGGCGUGCUUAACACAUGCAAGUCGAACGGAAAGGCCCUUCGGGGUACUCGAGUGGCGAACGGGUGAGUAACACGUGGGUGAUCUGCCCUGCACUUUUGGGAUAAGCCUGGGAAACUGGGUCUAAUACCGAAUAUGACCACGCUCUUCAUGGGGUGUGGUGGAAAGCUUUUGCGGUGUGGGAUGGGCUCGCGGCCUAUCAGCUUGUUGGUGGGGUAAUGGCCUACCAAGGCGACGACGGGUAGCCGGCCUGAGGGGGUGACCAGCCACACUGGGACUGAGACACGGCCCAGACUCCUACGGGAGGCAGCAGUGGGGAAUAUUGGACAAUGGGCGAAAGCCUGAUCCAGCAAUGCCGCGUGAGUGAUGAAGGCCUUAGGGUUGUAAAGCUCUUUUACCCGAGAUGAUAAUGACAGUAUCGGGAGAAUAAGCUCCGGCUAACUCCGUGCCAGCAGCCGAGGUAAU
rnacentral:rRNA from 1 species